GACGCUGGCGGCGUGCUUAACACAUGCAAGUCGAACGGUGACCCAGGGCUUGCCCUGGUGAUCAGUGGCGAACGGGUGAGUAACACGUGGGCAACCUGCCCCUGACUUCGGGAUAACUCCUCGAAAGAGGAGCUAAUACCGGAUACGACCACUUCGGACAUCCGAUGGUGGUGGAAAGUUUUUCGGUCAGGGAUGGGCCCGCGGCCUAUCAGCUAGUUGGUGGGGUAAUGGCCUACCAAGGCGACGACGGGUAGCCGGCCUGAGAGGGCGACCGGCCACACUGGGACUGAGACACGGCCCAGACUCCUACGGGAGGCAGCAGUGGGGAAUAUUGCGCAAUGGGCGAAAGCCUGACGCAGCGACGCCGCGUGAGGGAUGAAGGCCUUCGGGUUGUAAACCUCUUUCAGCAGGGACGAAGCGAAAGUGACGGUACCUGCAGAAGAAGCACCGGCUAACUACGUG
rnacentral:rRNA from 1 species